ensembl:lncRNA
UAUGUAUAUCUAUGGUCGGCACGUCUGGUAGCAUCUCUGGCUGCUGUUGACCUUGUUUUUGGAGUAAAACACGAUGUUCAGAGGGAGAUGAUGCCACAUCUGGUCCAGCUGAUGGAAGGUCUUGAAGUUCUCUGACUGGCCUCGACUGAAGAUGGUCGUCUCACUGGAUUUAAGGUUCAGAUGCUCAGUAACAAACUCCACCAAUGUGCCAACAGGGAAGCUUUAGGUUUAUUAAAUGUUGCUAUGAAGGUUUCGCUGUUUUUCUUUGUGAAUGCAAUGUGCUCCAACUGAAACUUGAAUUAGAACUUAGAAGUAAAUCCUUCCAUCUGAAAGGAUUUAUUUGCAUUAAUAACCUCAUAACAUUCUAAUUUUUAUUCCAGUCUUGGUUGGAAAUAGAAUCUCUGUAUUGAUUCAGGUAAAAACUGAACUUCACAGCAUGUUGGAGCAAAACAACCAGAUGAAAACUGUGAUGGUGUUGGAUUGUCAGACCGUAAUGUUGCAGCUCAAAGCAGCUUUUCUAUCUCAGUUCAUUCUGACAUUCAGCUAUGAAUCAACACAGCAGAUGGUGAUCCAUGCUGUGGAAGUCUCACAUCUCCUCAUUUAAUGGAGCUGCUUUGCACUUUUUACACUGUUUAUUCACCAACACUUUAUUUAAUAAAAGUCCCAUCUAGUUUUCAUGAGGAAUGUGAUGUUUUAAUUUCUCUGUGAAUAACUGCAGUCUAAUGGAACAGCUGGAGUUGUAACAUCUGUCCUGAUAUUGAUCAUGAAGUAUUGAUCAGAAUACUUAUGGUUAGCAGUCAUCCCUGAAGUUUUACAUUAAAAUCUUUACUUGUGUUGUGAACUUUGGUAAGAAGCAGAAACUUUAGCGUUGCCAUGGAUACAUGAGUGUUAAAGUCUGUCCAUGUUUCCAUUUUGGGAAAUGAAGUCCAGCAGAUGAGUUUGUUUUUACUGGCAGCUACUAUUCAGUCUGAGAUAUUAAGAAUAAAUAAAUGUGCAUAAUGUGG